rnacentral:rRNA from 1 species
AACGAACGCUGGCGGCAGGCUUAACACAUGCAAGUCGAACGGGCGCAGCAAUGCGUCAGUGGCAGACGGGUGAGUAACACGUGGGAACCUUCCUUAAGGUACGGGACAACUCAGGGAAACUUGAGCUAAUACCGUAUACGUCCGAGAGGAGAAAGAUUUAUCGCCUUUAGACGGGCCCGCGUCGGAUUAGCUAGUUGGUGGGGUAACGGCCUACCAAGGCGACGAUCCGUAGCUGAUCUGAGAGGAUGAUCAGCCACACUGGGACUGAGACACGGCCCAGACUCCUACGGGAGGCAGCAGUGGGGAAUCUUGGACAAUGGGGGAAACCCUGAUCCAGCCAUGCCGCGUGAGUGAAGAAGGCCUUAGGGUUGUAAAGCUCUUUGCCAGGGACGAUAAUGACGGUACCUGGAGAAUAAGCCCCGGCAAACUUCGUGCCAGCAGCCGCUGUAAC